rnacentral:rRNA from 1 species
AUUGAACGCUGGCGGCAGGCCUAACACAUGCAAGUCGGACGGUAGCACAGAGAGCUUGCUCUUGGGUGACGAGUGGCGGACGGGUGAGUAAUGUCUGGGGAUCUGCCCGAUAGAGGGGGAUAACCACUGGAAAUGGUGGCUAAUACCGCAUAACGUCGCAAGACCAAAGAGGGGGACCUUCGGGCCUCUCACUAUCGGAUGAACCCAGAUGGGAUUAGCUAGUAGGCGGGGUAAUGGCCCACCUAGGCGACGAUCCCUAGCUGGUCUGAGAGGAUGACCAGCCACACUGGAACUGAGACACGGUCCAGACUCCUACGGGAGGCAGCAGUGGGGAAUAUUGCACAAUGGGCGCAAGCCUGAUGCAGCCAUGCCGCGUGUAUGAAGAAGGCCUUCGGGUUGUAAAGUACUUUCAGCGGGGAGGAAGGCGGUGCGGUUAAUAACCGCACCGAUUGACGUUACCCGCAGAAGAAGCACCGGCUAACUCCGUGCCAGCCGCCGCCGUAA